rnacentral:rRNA from 1 species
UCUUGCGCAAUGGGCGAAAGCCUGACGCAGCGACGCCGCGUGGGGGAUGAAGGCCUUCGGGUUGUAAACCCCUUUCAGGAGGGAAGAUGGGACGGGCAACCGUUCGGACGGUACCUUCAGAAGCAGCCACGGCUAACUCUGUGCCAGCAGCCGCGGUAAGACAGAGGUGGCAAGCGUUGUUCGGAUUUACUGGGCGUAAAGGGUGCGUAGGUGGUUAGGUAAGACCUGCGGGAAAGACCUGGGCUUAACCCAGGAAGGUCGUAGGUGACUGCCUGGCUAGAGGGCGGGAGAGGAGAGCGGAAUUCCCGGUGUAGCGGUGAAAUGCGUAGAGAUCGGGAGGAAGGCCGGUGGCGAAGGCGGCUCUCUGGAACGUUCCUGACACUGAGGCACGGAG